AUUGAACGCUGGCGGCAUGCCUUACACAUGCAAGUCGAACGGUAACGGGCCUUCGGGUGCCGACGAGUGGCGAACGGGUGAGUAAUGCAUCGGAACGUACCUUUCAGUGGGGGAUAACGUAGCGAAAGUUACGCUAAUACCGCAUAUUCUGUGAGCAGGAAAGCAGGGGAUCGCAAGACCUUGCGCUGAUUGAGCGGCCGAUGUCAGAUUAGCUAGUUGGUGAGGUAAAGGCUCACCAAGGCGACGAUCUGUAGCGGGUCUGAGAGGAUGAUCCGCCACACUGGAACUGAGACACGGUCCAGACUCCUACGGGAGGCAGCAGUGGGGAAUUUUGGACAAUGGGGGCAACCCUGAUCCAGCCAUGCCGCGUGAGUGAAGAAGGCCUUCGGUGUAAGCUCUUCGCCGGAAGAAUACGUAUGGGCUAAUACCUCGUGCGGAGUGACGGUACCGGCGAUAAGAAGCACCGGCUAACUACGUAGCCGAGCAGCCG
rnacentral:rRNA from 1 species